rnacentral:rRNA from 1 species
CUGGCUCAGGACGAACGCUGGCGGCGUGCCUAACACAUGCAAGUCGAGCGGGGACAUGCGACGGAAGCGAAGUUUCGGAUGGAGCGGAAGAUGUAUGUUCUAGCGGCGGACGGGUGAGUAACGCGUGAGCAACCUGUCCCUUACAGGGGGAUAACACAGCGAAAGUUGUACUAAUACCGCAUAAGACCACGGAUUCACAUGGAUCAGGGGUCAAAGGAGCAAUCCGGUAAGGGGUGGGCUCGCGUCCGAUUAGAUAGUUGGUGAGGUAACGGCCCACCAAGUCGACGAUCGGUAGCCGACCUGAGAGGGUGAUCGGCCACAUUGGGACUGAGACACGGCCCAAACUCCUACGGGAGGCAGCAGUGGGGAAUAUUGGGCAAAUGGGGGAAACCCUGACCCAGCAACGCCGCGUGAGGGAAGAAGGUUUUCGGAUCGUAAACCUCUGUCCUUGGUGAAGAGUAAGAGACGGUAGCCAAGGAGGAAGCCCCGGCUAACUACGUGCCAGCCGCCGC